rnacentral:lncRNA from 1 species
AUGCACCUAUUAUGUGGGCAUGGAAGGAAAAUUUCUUCUAAACUUUCUCCUGAUAUUCCUGUUUUCUGGGCAGGUAAAGAAAGGAAACAAGCAAGGAGGAAUAGCAUCAACAAGAAGCUCAGGAUGGACAACUGUUUAAAGGGGGAAAUGCUGAGCUGCAGCCUUCCCCUUGGAGGAAAAAGAGUAGACCUGCUAAACUAUCACAUGAGAAAAGAGGCCCAAAAGCUUGCAUACUACAGUCAAGCUGGUCCUUAAAGAGAUGGACCUAGAAGAUGGUGAGCCAAAUGUACUCAAUUACUUCUCUCAAAUUCAUCAAUUAGGUAAGACACUCUUCCCAUGAAAGGAGGAAGCUGAGGGAGAGGCUGAAGUAAUCCUUCCAAGCUUUGUUUCCUGAGGAAUAGAGUAGAAAUUUCCUGCUAAAGGUGGAAAAUUUUGUAGUAGUAAUAAAUGCCCUCAAUACAUUAUUAUCAUCUGUUACCCAUUGGUCUAUUUUCACCACUGAAGAAACUCAGGCUGCGGUACUGGAGGUAGCCAAUGUUUACUUAACUCUCUGAGGAAGAGAAAAGGGCCUUGCUCUUCUGUGUUUCUUCUGUAACCCCUAUGGUACCCAUAUAGCAGCCUGAUAGAGUGCCAAUAUAAGAAAAUCGUGAAGUUGCUCAAAAAUAAAUCUUACUCUUUUGGUUAGGCUUUCUUCUUUCAUUCUGAAAAACCAACAUUAUUGAUUUUAAUGACAGAUGAUCAAGUAUUUUCAAUGUCUUAAUAGAUGUCAGUAGUAAAUUGAUCAAUCACUGUUGAAAUGGAUGAAAAAUGACAAAAUGUUUUAGUGCCUGAUAUUUUAAAAAUGUCAUUAUUUUGGCAUUAUGUUACUUUUCUUGGUAACACUUGGGUAGAAAAAAAGGCUAACUGAAUUUUAUAAACCUUGGUUGAACAUCUAUUGUGUUCAAGGCAUUAUGCCAAGUGCUGUGAAAAAUGCAAAAAGACUAAGACAUACAUAGUUCCUACAUAUCAUAUAUGAACAAUUUCAUCCAUAGGCAUUUAUGUUCUGGUAGAAAUAUGCUGAAAAAAAUUCCAACACUGGGAAAGCAAGGAUAGAAUACAAAGUCCAAAGUGAAACAGAACAAACUCUGAACUGCUUAGAUUAAAAAUAAUGGAAAGGAGACUGUAGGGCUAAAGACAUGUAUUCCAGAUGGUGGGAGGUAUAUCCGAACAGAUUGAACCACAGAAUCCACCAAAGUAUUAUACAGCUGAACAAUAGCACAAAGCUCUAAGAGCCAGAGGGAGCUUUGAAUAGCUCAGCCAAUCUUUCACUUUGAAUGGUUAGCAUUGAGCAGAAGCUUCUUGGGCCCUAGAAGAGUGUGGGAGGGAAGAGGAUAUAUUAUGAAUAUCUUAUCCCUGAGCUUUAAAAUGGGAACAAUGGACUGCUUAUUCAAACUGAAUUGAGAUGACUAACUUGUUUCAAAUAGGCAAAAAACUCUUAACUUUAAACCUAACCAUAUUAAU